UACGGAGGGGGCUAGCGUUGUUCGGAAUUACUGGGCGUAAAGGGCGCGUAGGCGGACUUUUAAGUCGGAGGUGAAAGCCCAGGGCUCAACCCUGGAAUUGCCUUCGAUACUGGGAGUCUUGAGUUCGGAAGAGGUUGGUGGAACUGCGAGUGUAGAGGUGAAAUUCGUAGAUAUUCGCAAGAACACCAGUGGCGAAGGCGGCCAACUGGUCCGAUACUGACGCUGAGGCGCGAAAGCGUGGGGAGCGAACAGG
rnacentral:rRNA from 1 species